rnacentral:misc_RNA from 1 species
CGCACACAGAGAAGCAGAAAGGGUUUUAGGGUUUUACAAUGGAUAGAUACCAAAAAGUAGAAAAACCGAAGCCAGAAUCACCCAUAAAUGAGUACGAGAUUCGAAUCACUUCACAGGGUUUUGUUCGAAACUACAUCAACUAUGCUAAUACUCUUCUUCAGGAGAGGCAUGGGAAAGAGAUUGUCUUGAAAGCAAUGGGUCAGGCAAUUAGCAAAGCAGUUGCUAUAGCGGAGAUCAUCAAGAGAAGAGUGCCUAUACUUCAUCAAGACACUGCUAUCAGCUCAGUAAGCAUAACAGAUGUAUGGGAGCCAAUUGAAGAGGGUCUUUUGCCUGUGGAGCAGACCCGCCAUGUUUCAGUGAUUUCAAUCACGUUGUCAACACAAGAGCUG